AAACCAUGAAUUGGAAACUUUUAUAUCAAGUCUUUAAACCUCUCACAUGCUUCAUUCAAGUUCCCAUCCAUUAUUUGCUCGAAAGAUAUGAUGUCAUUCCUAAAUCU